rnacentral:lncRNA from 1 species
UAAGGCUAAUCUUUCCAAGCCAAAAGAGAAGAGGGAACUGAGCUAGGGCAAUAAACAGUAGGAGAUAAUGAUGCCUACUUGAAUCAUACGUCCUCACCUCUGCAAAGAGAACUCUUUUCAUUGUCUUCACCAAAAAUAUUCCCAUGCACAAGCAUGUCCAUGGCAUCAAAAAGUAGUAAGAAUAGUUCCAUACAAUUGUUCCCAAAAGAGCUAUGGACAAUCCUGUAAAAG